GACGAACGCUGGCGGCGUGCUUAACACAUGCAAGUCGAACGGAAAGGCCCUGCUUUUGUGGGGUGCUCGAGUGGCGAACGGGUGAGUAACACGUGAGUAACCUGCCCUUGACUUUGGGAUAACUUCAGGAAACUGGGGCUAAUACCGGAUAGGAGCUCCUGCUGCAUGGUGGGGGUUGGAAAGUUUCGGCGGUUGGGGAUGGACUCGCGGCUUAUCAGCUUGUUGGUGGGGUAGUGGCUUACCAAGGCUUUGACGGGUAGCCGGCCUGGGAGGGUGACCGGCCACAUUGGGCCUGGGAUGCGGCCCAGACUCCUACGGGAGGCAGCAGUGGGGAAUAUUGCACAAUGGGCGGAAGCCUGAUGCAGCAACGCCGCGUGCGGGAUGACGGCCUUCGGGUUGUAAACCGCUUUCGCCUGUGACGAAGCGUGAGUGACGGUAAUGGGUAAAGAAGCACCGGCUAACUACGUG
rnacentral:rRNA from 1 species